rnacentral:tmRNA from 1 species
CCUCUUUCAUCGCGGGCCGCCCUUGCCUAUAUUCGGGGGGCCGGUUCACGCCGGCUAUGGCGAUAAACGGUUGUCGGAAUAAGCCUUUCGGACCCGGGGGCAGUACCCGGCGCCUCCACCAAAGCCCAGCGGCACCGCCUGCUGGGCUCCGGCGGGGGCGAAACAGGAUCGACGAGGGUGUAAAGGGCUGUCUUUCGCUCGGCAUGGUUCCGCCGAUAUCGGGCCGACCUAUAGUUGCGAAUGACAACUAUGCUCCGGUUGCUCAGGCCGCGUGAGCGGUUUGACGAUCGAAAUCAAAGUCCUACCGGGUAGCACUGGAUAGGCGGGGUUCGGAGGCACCUGGCAACAGAAGCCUCCACU